AGAGAACAUAACUAGGCUUCUUUCUAAGAUAUGAGCUGUCUUUGUAACCAAAGGAAAUUCACGGGCUUUGGAAGAGAAAACAGGAAAAGGGAAAGUCUUAUAUGUGUCAGAGAUCACCGAAGACCAAGAGAGAAGACAUGAACUUCUAGCGGCUGCCCUGGUGCCAUGCUUCCCUCACUACUGCCAUGGCUUCCCUUAGUGAUGGACAUGGAGAAUGGCCAUGGGGUCAUGGACAUGGACUCUAAGUUGUGUUUGCAUUUGCAUGGGUAUGAGGUUAUUGACUGGCUCAUAAGCAAGUUUCCACUGGCUACACCACUGAAGAAAAAUGGCACCUACCCCACUUUUCAGCAGCCAUGAAGUACCAAUCUUCAGCCA